AUUGAACGCUGGCGGCAUGCCUACACAUGCAAGUCGAGCGGUAGCAGGUCUUCGGAUGCUGACGAGUGGCGAACGGGUGAGUAAUACAUCGGAACGUGCCUAGUAGUGGGGGAUAACUACUCGAAAGAGUGGCUAAUACCGCAUGAGAUCUACGGAUGAAAGCAGGGGAUCGCAAGACCUUGUGCUACUAGAGCGGCCGAUGGCAGAUUAGGUAGUUGGUGGGAUAAAAGCUUACCAAGCCGACGAUCUGUAGCUGGUCUGAGAGGACGAUCAGCCACACUGGGACUUAGACACGGCCCAGACUCCUACGGGAGGCAGCAGUGGGGAAUUUUGGACAAUGGGCGCAAGCCUGAUCCAGCAAUGCCGCGUGCAGGAUGAAGGCCUUCGGGUUGUAAACUGCUUUUGUACGGAACGAAAAGCCCUGGGUUAAUACCCUGGGGUCAUGACGGUACCGUAAGAAUAAGCACCGGUUAACUACGUGCCAGCCGCCGCGGUAA
rnacentral:rRNA from 1 species